GCUUGAACGUGCAACGCGGCGGCCGCCAUGUUGAUUGUUGUGGUUGCGGUGCGAAAAUCAAAAUUGUUGAUCGCUUCAAAAUGUGUCCUAAUUUUAUUUGAUUUGGCCAGAAAUUCCUUCAGUUUUCGUUUGAGAAGACCUAUUAACUAUUGAAAAGUUCCAGGUUUUAUGUGCCACGACCACUUUUUGAAGCACCUUGAACCGUGGUACCCUACAGGAUUUGGCCAAGAGAAGUGGAAGUGAACGAUUGCUGGUGCCGCUGUAGACGUUUUAAGCAGCCAUGGCCUUCUCAAGCUCGAAGAUUCCAAGGAGCCAUCCCAAGGAGGAGAAGCUUCAGGACCGACUAAAUACCGUGGACCAGAAGCUGCACGGGCCAAAUUACUUUACUCCGGUUGCUGAAAGAAGUCUAGCUGUUUCUGCUUCCCAAGCCAUCUGGCAGGUUAGUUCAUAGAAUCCGGAACCGGAAAGCGAGAGAGAACCAUGUCAAGUGUCGCGUAUGAAAAAAAAGUUGAUUAAGUGCAAAUAAAAUGAUUUAUUCCAGUAUUUAA